rnacentral:rRNA from 1 species
GCUGGCGGCGUGCCUAACACAUGCAAGUCGAGCGGGGAACUUCGGUUCCCAGCGGCGGACGGGUGAGUAACACGUGGGUAACCUGCCUCAAAGAGGGGGAUAGCCUCCCGAAAGGGAGAUUAAUACCGCAUAACAUUAUUUUCUCGCAUGAGAAAAUAAUCAAAGGAGCAAUCCGCUUUGAGAUGGACCCGCGGCGCAUUAGCUAGUUGGUGAGGUAACGGCUCACCAAGGCGACGAUGCGUAGCCGGCCUGAGAGGGUGAACGGCCACAUUGGAACUGAGAUACGGUCCAGACUCCUACGGGAGGCAGCAGUGGGGAAUAUUGCACAAUGGGCGAAAGCCUGAUGCAGCAACGCCGCGUGAGUGAUGAAGGCCUUCGGGUUGUAAAGCUCUGUCUUCUGGGACGAUAAUGACGGUACCAGAGGAGGAAGCCACGGCUAACUACGUGCCAGCAGCCGCGGUAAUACGUAGGUGGCAAGCGUUGUCCGGAUUUACUGGGCGUAAAGGAUGCGUAGGCGGAUACUUAAGUCAGAUGUGAAAAUCCCGGGCUUAACUUGGGAACUGCAUUUGAAACUGGGUAUCUAGAGUGUGGGAGAGGAAAGUGGAAUUCCUAGUGUAGCGGUGAAAUGCGUAGAGAUUAGGAAGAACACCAGUGGCGAAGGCGACUUUCUGGACCAUAACUGACGCUGAGGCAUGAAAGCGUGGGGAGCAAACAGGAUUAGAUACCCUGGUAGUCC